GGAGGUUCCCAGGCUAGGGGUCGAAUCAGAGCUGUCGCUGCUGGCCUUUGCCAGAGCCACAGCAAAAGGGAUCCGAGCCGCGUCUGCGGCCUACACCACAGAUCAUCGCAACGCCAGAUCCUUAACUCACUGAGCGAGGCCAGGCAUCGAUCCCGCAACCUCAUUGUUCCUAGUCGGAUUCAUUAACCACUGAGCCACAACAGGAACUCCUGAUUCAUAUUUUUCAUUCAGUAAUUCUUGAGUGACUUUAUGUGUCAGCUAUGCAACCCCACCUGAAUCUAUUUAAUUCAUUUGCACUGUUUUCAUUUCUACAUUUUAAGAAAUACUGAAUUGUUUCUAAAGAUGUAGAGACCAUGAAUGAAGGAAGGAACCACAUCUCUAUUUGUUUUGAUCAUUUUUACAGUGAGCUUGGUGGGUGCCUAGUAAAUUUCAUGGACUACCUGACUGGUUGGAGGAUGUAGGAAUAAAGUUGAGCCAGACCAGGUUAAAUACAUUGUGGGCAGGAAUUAGCAUUUCUGUUAGAUUGGGUAUUUUAAAGGUCCUUUGGUGAAUGAUGGUGACUAGUACAUAUCCAUGGUUCUGCCUGCACAGUGGCUUUAAAUAUUCUAUAAGAAUUAGAUGAGCUUACUAAAAUAAAAAGAAACCUUUCUGCAGAAGAUUGUUUUUAUUUUUAUUUAUUUAUUUUGACUUUUUAGGGCUGCACCUGUGACAUAAGGAGGUUUCCAGGCUAGGGGUCAAAUCUGAGCUACACCUGCCAGCCUAUGCCAUAGCCACAGCAACACAGCAUCUGAGCCGUGUCUGCAACCUACACCACAACUCACGGCAAUGCUGGAUCUUUAACCCACUGUGCAAGGCCAGGGAUCGAACUCGCAACCUCAUGGUUCCUAGUCAGAUUCAUUUCCACUGUGCCACAAUGGGAACUCCAGAAGAUUGUUUUUAUUGUAGAGUCAAUUUCAACCUGGAUAUGAAAUUAAUAAACCAAAGCUACUGCUUAGAAAACCAAGGCAGAGUGAAAACCGUGUCACAUGGUGAUGUUAUCAUCUAUAUUAAAUCUAAGGCUUAUUAUUUCAAUUUUUUCUUUUUUCUUUUUUCUUUUUAGGGCUGCAUUCAUGGCAUAUGGAGGUUCCCAGGCUAGGGGUUUAAUUGGAGCUACAGCUGCUGGCCUAUGCCACAGGCACAGCAACGCCAGAUCCAAGCCACGUCUGUGACCUACACCACAGCUCAUGGCAACACCAGAUCCUUGACCCACUGAAUGAGGCCAGGGAUCAAACCUGUAACCUCAUGGUUCCUAGUCAAAUUUGUUUCUGCUGUACCAUGAUAGGAGUUCCUAUUCUUUCAAUUUUUGACAGUAGAACUCCAUACUAUUUCUUGCAGUCGUCUCCCUUUCUGGUUUUUGGUUUUAUGUUUCAUGCUUUAGGCAUUUCCUAAAACAAUAUCUAAGUCCUGGGGAAACCCCAGGGCUCUACUGAAAGGAAAGGCUAGUCCCCUUACCUUGCAAGGUGUGGGAGAUCCUAAUAGUCUAUAAAGUUGCUCAGCUGGAAAACAAAGGAAGUGAACCAGUGGAAAUCCCUGGCUAAUUAAAUUCAUGGAGACAUUAAUAACACCCCAUGUUGAUACAAGGUAUGUAUCAGCAUUGUGCCUUGGCUCUUGGGGAGAGGUUUUAGCCGUUUUGUCUCUGGUUAAGAAGAGUCAGGCUGUGUCAUACCUACUUGGACUUUUUUUUUUUCUUUUUUUUUUUUUUAGGCUGCCUCUCAGUUUACUGAGUUUCUGGGCCAGGGAACAGAUCUAUGCCACAGUUGUGACCUAUGCUGCGGCAAUGCCGAUUCUUUAACUCACUGCGCCAGGCCAAGGAUCGAACCCACGUCCUGGUGCUGCAGAGAUGCUACUGAUCACAUUGUGCCACAGAGGGAGCUUCUACUUUGACAGUCUUUAUCCUGCCUUCCUCCUUGGCAUGUAUGUGAUCAAGGUCAUUAAUCACUAUAAAGCUUUUGUGCCAUCUUGCCAACCCCCUUCCUGAGGGGACAUGUGUCCUGUCCCCGAUGAUUCUCACUCACUCUCUGCUAUGACUUUUUACUGAGCAUGAUGGAAGGAACAAGAUAGCUGGGUCAGGGAUAAAUAGAGGGAAAGGACUAGGACAAAUAUUGAAGUUGAUGAAAAUACGCUUUCCCCUUUUAUCUUUUGGGGGGCCUCACCCAUGGCACAUGGAGGUUCCCAGGCUAGGGGUCCAAUCAGAGCUGCAGCUACAGCAACGCUAGAGCCGAGCCGUGUCUGUGACCUACACCACAGCUCAAGGCAACAUCAGAUCCCGAACUCACUGAUCAAGGCCAGAUAUCGAACCUGUGUCCUCAUGGAUGCCAAUCAGAUUUGUUUCCCCUGAGCAAUGACCGCAACUCCUGCAUUCCCUUUCUAUUGCUGGCUUCAAAGGAAAAGCUGAACAAAACAGACCCCUGGUCUCAUCUCCUUCAUUUCUGCUGUGUAAGUCUUCUCUGUGCCUUUUUGAAUUGUGGUUCCUUGGUCUCUAUAGGGGAACUGGUUCCAGCACCCUCAUGGAUAAGAAAUCCGAGGAUGUUCAACACAUCCAUGGAACAGUUGGUCCUCCGUGUCUGAAGGUUCCACAUCUGUGGGUUCUGUAUCCAUGAAUACAGGGGCCCACUGUAUCAUCUUCCUUUUUCAAUGGACAGCAGUUGGCUCUGGAAACAAGCAAGCAAUUCAGUUCAGAGGAUUACCUAUGGCCUCACUUUGUGCUACAUGCUGCCUUUGAAAUUUUUGGUUGGUAUUGGCUUUUUUUCAGUAUCUACCUCCCCUUGUGAUGGCUGUGUGACAUAGUGCCUUGUCACAUGAAUCUUGGUUACUCUUUCAGUGGCACCUAUUGAAAGAGCAACAGAAAAGUCUCCAUUACCUCUGAGCUCUUUCCCAGCUAGUAGAUCAUUCUGUUUGGGGGUAGGGGAAGAAUUCGAUGCAGUCUUGUGAUUGAGAAAGACUUGCUUAUUCUUUUGACUCUGGGAGCUGGACAUUUGGUGACUCUGAGGUGAGCUUUGCUAUAUAGUGAAAUGUUCCAGUUAUGGGUGGGGGCCUUCUCUAUUUUUCACCUCUUACUCUCCUUUUGCAUUUUGUUUCUUGCUUUUUGCCAGCAUACUCUUUGUUCAUCGUGGCCUCUGGGAUCCUACCUCUGGUGUCUUUUGGACUCUGUUUCUUGUUUUGUUUCCUGUUGUACUGAGACCCUAAACAUUGGCCUCUUCAUAACAAGGCUUGAGAAUAUAGUUGGCCAGGCGGGAUGAACUGGAGUAAGACUGGGUCUCAGAAACCAGAGGGACCAUGAAACUGGAGAGGUCUCGGCUGUAGGUAGUUGGCAUCAGGCAGGUUUCUGACUGGUAGGAGAUAGAGAUUGGAUGAGUUGGACAUAGAGCUUCUGUAAGGUAGUGAUGACUCAGCUCCAGGGAAUGGAACAAAAUAGUGGGAAUGCAGACCUGGAAAGAAUUGGAUUUGGGAGAAGAACCCAAAGUAGAGACUUGGAUAAAGCAAGUGCAGGGGGAAUAAUUAAGAGGUUCUGAGAUUCUGAAACUGGCAUAUGAAGAAAGGUUUUGUUAUGAAGGACCUGGGAAAAGGUUGGGUAAUUGGGCCAGAGAAGAGGGUCCAUGUGUGCCCGAUAGCUGACUUGAUGCUUAAUUGGGAAAUGACUGAGAAUUCCUGCCUUACACCUAUAGAGCAGUGGACUUUUCUCCUUGAGACUAGUAUUGCUCUCAAUCCAGGGGGCAAGUGAUAGCCAGCCCAGCAGUUGAGUUAUUUGAAUUUUCUGGCUUGGUGAGUGACUCUGAGGUUGACCCAAACCCUGUUUCACUCUAAGACUCACCUGAGUGGGAACCUUGAUGUAUUUUUCACCUCUGCACUGCCAUUUUUCAGUUGUUGAACUAGCAUUCUGUCUGAGCCACCCAUCUCUUUGUGACCUCUAACUUUACACUAUAUGUUCUACUUUUGAAUUUUUAAGUUACCUUCCACCUCCCAAUCCAAGUGGCCGACCUCCUGGGAGGAGGGAUUCAGCCUUUGCUGUCUUGGUAUCAAGCAUAUAUUGACUUAAGCCUAUUUUUCUCCAACUUAGAGUCCUUCUUAAGAGUGACUGAGGUAUAUCAUAGGUUAAGCAACCUUCUUGAAGCAUCAGUGCCUUGCCAUUCCAGACUCAGUGGAGAUGUACAUGGGGCUUAUGUGUUGUAUGACCCAUGAGUAGCAAUCCCUCUGGCUACAUCAUGUGUACAAAGUCCAUAAAUAGUAAUAUUUAUUGUGCACAUUCUAGAAGCCAGGCAAUAUCAUAGGCAUUCCUUUUGAAUACCAUUAACCCCAUUUUACAAAGAGGAAAUGAGAUUUAAGUGCAUAAAGUUGGUGCUUUCAACUGUUAUACUUGGACUAUUCAAUGGGGUGCCGUGCCAGACAAUGUUAGGUCCCGUGGAUAAGCAAAAGUAGGUUAAAGCAUGGAUUUGUGAUACUCACAGGAUUACUGGGAGGGCAGACCUGGUAUGUAUGAAUGGAUGAUAAACAUGAUGUAAGACAUGAUGUGAUGAAGUUCUAAACUGAAUGCAAUUACAUGCUAAAAUGCCUAGUGUGGACACAGUGGUUUUCAUUGUGGUCCCCAGACCAGCAGCAUCACCAUCAUCUGGGACCUCGUUAGAUGUGCCAAGUCUCACACUUCGCCACAGAUCUACUAAAUAAUAAACUCAGGCUGGAACCUGCUACUGUUUUAACAAGCCUUCAAGGUGAUUCUAAUACACUAAAAUGUGGGAACUACUAGUGGACAGUUGUUAAGGGCAUUAGAUUGGUGUCCUAUGUAUGCCAUAACAAUUGACACAAACUGGGGGGCUUAAAACAACAAAUUUCAUCUCUCACAGUUCAAAAGUCCAAAAUCAAGGUGUUGGUACAGUUGGUUCCCUCUGGAGUUUGCGAGGGAGGCACUGGCCUCUUUUUUAGCUUCUGGUGACUCCUGGUAUUCUUGGGGGCAUUCCUUGACUUACAGCUGCAUCAGUCAAAUCUCUGCUUCUGCCCUAAUGUGUCUGCUUCUUUGUCUUUGUAUGUCCUUUCCUCUUCUUAAGAGGACAACAGUCAUUGGAUUUAGGACUCUAUACACUCCAUUAUCACCUUAACUAAUUACAUCUGCACAGAUCCUCUGUACAAAUAGGUCCCAUUUUGAGGUUCCUGGUAGACAAGAAUUUCGGGAACACUCUUCAACUUAACUACAGGCAGUUAAGAUGAAGAUAAUCAGUUUAAGUGAAACUGGAGGAAAGAGCUUUAGGCAUGAUUUGAGUGGUUGAAGUGAGUGAAAUAAUGGGACUGGUGGAGUGAAGGCUAGUGAACAAGCAUAGGAGAAUUUGACUGAUGAAGAUCAUGAUGCUGGGGCAUUGACUAGGUUAGAAUUAAAACAUGGGUAUUGGCCAACAUAUAUAAACAGCUCAUUCAACUCAACAGCAACGAAAAACCUGGUUAAGAAAUGGGCAGAAUUAUUGAACAGGCUAUUUUUCAAAAGAAGAAAAGUAGAUGGCCAGAAAGCACGUGAAAAGAUAAUGAACAUUGCUAAUCACCAAGGAAAUGCAAAUCACAGCUGCAUGAAAUACCAGCUCACAUCUGAUAGAAUGACUGUCAUCAAAAAGAACACAAAUAACAAGUGUUGGCAAAGAUGUGGACAAAAGAGAAACCUUAUAUAUUGUUGAUGGGAACGUAAGGUGGUAGCCACUGUGGAAAACAGCAUGGAGGUUUCUCAAGAAACUGAAAAUAGAACUGCUAUGUAACCCAGUAAUUCCACUCCUGGGUAUAUAUCUGAGGAAAACAAAAACAAAAACAAAAAAA
rnacentral:lncRNA from 1 species